UACGUAGGGGGCAAGCGUUGUCCGGAAUUAUUGGGCGUAAAGCGCGCGCAGGCGGUUUGGAAAGUCUGGUGUUUAAGGCUGAGGCUCAACCUCAGUUCGCACUGGAAACUGUCAGACUUGAGUACAGAAGAGGAAAGUGGAAUUCCACGUGUAGCGGUGAAAUGCGUAGAGAUGUGGAGGAACACCAGUGGCGAAGGCGACUUUCUGGGCUGUAACUGACGCUGAGGCGCGAAAGCGUGGGGAGCAAACA
rnacentral:rRNA from 1 species